GGGUGAUCCUCAACUGGGUAUUUAGACGAAAAGAAAAUAAUAAAUUGCCCCCAAAUCUACUUAAAAGCCAAAAAGAAGGCUGAAACAAGAAACAGCUCCAAGCCAAGCAAAACAAGUGGGAUGGCAGGGUGAGAUCAGAGACCUGUAUGUGUAAAUGUUAAUGAAGAAAAGGAAGACGCACACUCAGAAGAGGAACCCUCAGAGCCUUCUACUCUGCAAAAUGACCACAUGCGUCAACCUAAGCCAUCACCCCGUCCUAUCCGCCUUUUCUGCACUGUUUCAACCCAGCAGGAGGCUGCUAAAUUGUGAGGACACACUGGAAAGUGACGAAGUACCGAACAGCCCCACUAUUCAUUCUCAUUCCCUUCCCUGCCGCUCCUUUACACUCGGCUUGCUCCAGUAUUGAGGAGCCCUUCAGCUAUCAUAGCAAGGUUUAAAGAAGUCGCUUUUGUUUGGGGAGCCCUCUAAUCGGUGCCCUGAAGGUCCUCGACCAGAAAAAGUUAAACCCCAAAUCCUCAUGAGAUCAGGCGGAAGAGAUAUGAUGGAUUAUCUGCUGUGUGCUUUCACUGCGCUGACCUCCAGUUUCAACAGAACUAAUUACAAUUCUGUGUUUUACUGUGACAGGAGGACAGAUGAUAGUCAGUGCAUCAGUUGCUGUAGGCCUAAUGUUGGCAAGUGCUCAUCGGCAGGGCAUUGGAAUUACAAUAUCGUCCUCUUGGAAUUAUAAGGUUCUGUCUGACUUUUUUGUCAAAAUUGAGUUAUACACAUUCUUAUUCUGUGACUGCUAUAAAUAAAUAAAUAAUAAAAAGGCAUAAAAAGUCAAAGAAAGCAUGCAAUUUAAUGUUUUGACAAUGUAGACAUUCAGUUACACUCAUUUUAUGGUUUUAAACAAAUUGAGCAUAAACUUUGUGUUCCUUGAAAAUUGUUGCUGCUUUUCAUGUUUUGCCAGAUAGAACCUCAUAGUGCCAAGCAGAAAGUGAGUGUUUUUGGAUUAGAAGGUUCUAACUGCAUUUGACCUGUUUAAAAAAACGUUUUGAUAUUGUACACUUAGAAUACGUUUAUGGUAUCUGUCGUCUUCAUUUAUUAAAGAGACGUGUUCUACAUAUCAGUUCUGCUAUUUGGGAUGCCAUGUUC